rnacentral:rRNA from 1 species
CAGCCAGACUCCUACGGGAGGCAGCAGUGAGGAAUAUUGGUCAAUGGGCGAGAGCCUGAACCAGCCAAGUCGCGUGAGGGAGGACGGCCCUACGGGUUGUAAACCUCUUUUGCCGGGGGACAAACGGCGGCACGCGUGCCGUCCUGAGGGUACCCGGAGAAAAAGCAUCGGCUAACUCCGUGCCAGCAGCCGCGGUAAUACGGAGGAUGCGAGCGUUAUCCGGAUUUAUUGGGUUUAAAGGGUGCGUAGGCGGGAUGCCAGGUCAGCGGUAAAAUCGCGGGGCUCAACCUCGCUCCGCCGUUGAAACUGGCAGUCUCGAGUUGGAGAGAAGUAUGCGGAAUGCGCGGUGUAGCGGUGAAAUGCAUAGAUAUCGCGCAGAACUCCGAUUGCGAAGGCAGCAUGCCGGCUCCACACUGACGCUGAGGCACGAAAGCGUGGGUAUCGAACAGGAUUAGAUACCCCGGUA